UACGGAGGGGGCGAGCGUUAUUCGGAAUUAUUGGGCGUAAAGCGCGCGUAGGCGGCCACUUAAGUCGGAUGUGAAAGCCCCUGGCUCAACUGGGGAAGUGCACCCGAAACUGAGCGGCUUGAAUGCAAAAGAGGGUCGCGGAAUUCCCGGUGUAGAGGUGAAAUUCGUAGAUAUCGGGAGGAACACCGGUGGCGAAGGCGGCGACCUGGGUUGACAUUGACGCUGAGGCGCGAAAGCGUGGGGAGCAAACAGG
rnacentral:rRNA from 1 species